UACAAUAGAUAACACAUACCUUAUAUUACAACCCUUAUUUUGAUUCCAUUAAUAGCAAAAGUACACAGUAAUACACUGCUGAAUACAGAUAGACAGUACUUAAAUAAGGGAUACUACUAAAAAGCAAUUAAUAUUAUUUCACUAUAUACAUGCAUGCCAGUAGUCUUUUGUAAUACCAUAUAUAUGUAGAAUAUUAUUAGAAAUCGUAGCAAUUAAGCUACUAGCUAGGGUUUCUCAUUCGUAUUGUGAAGGCCAAAGGAAGGCUCCCAUGGCAAACUUCCUCUUCUGGUUGACAUCCCCAAUGAGUGGGAGGCCGUACUGCUUCAUAAGGCAGUCCAGUUUCCAUUCAGGCAUGCUCUCAUAGUCACUCUUCUGGUACCUUGGGUAGUGCAGAGGCAUCUGGAAGUUGCAUGGGGUGUUGUUCUUGCUAGUUUGCUCAUUUACUUGGAGACCGCCGGGCAUGGUGAAAGCGUGGUUGCUAAAGCCAGUUCCAGUGGUACUCAUCUUCUCAAAUAUGUUGAGAAAGCUGGUAACUCAUGCAGAGUUGCUAACUUGGUAGUUGGUGUUGCAAAGUUGGCCUUUUAUAGGCAUCCCAAAGAGCAUGAUAGUGGAAGAUUACUCGAGUAUGCGCUUGAAGAUAAGACAGAGCAAUCAAGAAAACAUUUAAUGCGAUGAAAGCUAAAUCACAUUGAAGAAUGUGUGGUGACAAACUUUUGAGUGUUACACAUUCAUACUAUCAUGUGGUGUUAGCGAAAUACGUAUUAAUAUAUAUAUAUAUAUAUAUAUAUAUAUAUAUAUAUAAUACGUGUUUCAUAUUUAUAAAUCAUAGAUAAAAAUUCAUAUUUUAUGACUCAUGAAAAUAGUAUUAACAAAUAAUAUAUGUUAUACAAUAUAAGUAAAUUAAAUCAUGUGACAAUAUUGUAACCCCCACAUCAAAAAGAUUACUGAGCCAUCUUUUGGUAGAUUUUCAUGACGAAGGUAAACUUGGAUAAAUUUGGAUUCUAGGCCUCGUUUGAUAUUUAGGAUUGGGUUAGUUUGGACAAUCCAUUUCAAUGAAAGUUGAACAAAAAUAGGGAUGCCAACUUGCAUAUUUUGUUAAAUGAAGGUAGAAGAUGGAGAAAUCAUGAAGAAAACUUAUCCCUCAAAAUCCCCACAAAAAUGGUAGAAUUGAGAGGGCCAAAUUUGCUUCAUGACUUUUCUAUCUUCGACCUAGAGUAGACGGACGUUGGUUAGGUUUGAGAAGAUGAGUUUUUGGAAGAAAAUAUUUUAGGGAUAAAUUUGGGAUUUUCUGGAUCAAAUAUUUUAGUUUGGUGUAUUAAUUUAUUUAAAAAUUGGGUGCCAAUAGAGGCACCUGAAAAUUAUAGUUAGCAAAUAAAUUAUUGGACCAAAAUACUUUAUGGAACCGUUGAAUACAUGGUAAUAUUGUCAUUUGCCAAGGUGGAAGGAAUUAGUUGUGAUGUAUCUAGUGUUCCAAUAAAAUUGAUAUUGAGGAGGGAGUAAUUGUUGGAAUCAAAUUUGUGCACUAUCAUGGAUGGCGGAGGCACAAAUUAGAGUAACAUUUAAAACAGAAAAAACCGUGAGCAAGUCUAAGAUAGGGUGAGUUGUGUGUGCCAGCCAAAGGAUCUCUAACGAUCAGGUUAGUAAGCAAGUAUAAGACUAAAGCAACGGGUAAGAGAAUUAGAGAGCGAUGAUUGUGCUACCAGAGAUGAACCCUGUGUGUAUUUAUAUCAGUCGAGAAAGAGACAUUUUUAUGAUAGAAUCUUUGUGCUAAGUUGAGAGAAUCUUAGAGGAUAUCUAGAAGUAAAUAUUGUCAUCCUCUUAGAAUGUGAUUACUUGUGGCGCACGCCAAUUCCUAGAUUGUAGGAACUGUAAUACAUAUAGAGAAUAUGGUUGAUUCUGUGCUGGAUCAUAUCCUCUUAUCUUGAGGAACAAGCAUGGUCAUUCUCAACGAAGUUGCUGAAACUUCACUCACUGCUCUGGAAUAGGAUGAUGGUGGUACCACUGCUUCGUUUGAUUUAGCUCCGCUCGGAGCUGUUGAGUGCAUGAUCAGACUCCUGAGGUAAUUGUAUUCUAAUUAGCCUUAUUCGGCCCUGGAAAAUUAUAUAGUCCAACGGUAAUUAUAAAAAAAAAUAAAUAAAAAAAAAACCUCAAGAAUAAGAGCAAGCAGAUGAUCUCAAUCACUUGAGUAAUUGGCCCUUGCUGAAAUGUAUGUAGUUGUAAUACCAAGAUGCUAAUAAUGCCAAAAUAUCCUGAUAAUGCUACUAAAUGCCAACAAAAUGCUUUUCCGAACAAUUCUGAUAUAUUUUCUUCCCUGAUAUCAUAGCAACUUGAUCAAUGUCCCUCUUUCAAUAAAUCCCUGGCCUUGGCCAGUUGUUCCUCUAUGCCAAAAUUGGAAUAAGUCCUCACAACUAUUCAAUGAUCAAGUGCAAAUGUUGAGCAUAUGUCGCCCAAUGAUGAGGAUGCCAAAGCUCCAGUCCAUUUUUAAUGACAUAUAAUUGUUAUAGCUAGUUAUACUUAUGCAUCACUUGAUGAAUUCAGAUAAACAACAGCCAAUCAAUCUCACUCAAAUCGUUAAUUUGUCUAUCGGAAAAUCAAUGAAGCGCAACAACAUUGCAUUGCAUUGCAGCCAGAAGAAUCGAUCUGCCAUCUUUUUCUCAACCCUAGCAAUUUGAAUCGAUCUGAGUGGAUAAACUGUGUGCGUGCUCCCGGACGCAAGAAAAUGAUCUAUAAUCUAUGAUCUAUCCUUGUCUCUAGCAAACCGAAUCGAUUAAGGCAAAGGGACCCGAAACACAAGUGGGCUUAACUAGUUAUAAGAAAGUCAAAGUAUUUGGAUGUUCACAACGAUCACCAGAUCAUGAAAAGACAUAUUUCAUGCUCAUUAGGGCAGCUGGAGCAUUCUAGUUCUACGAGUGAAAUGAUACAAGGUUAUUAUUGAUCCACAUCAAUCUCAGGUUGUGGAGUUGAAACGUCAUGCAUGCAUGGUGGGCAUGGGAUUGCAGGAAGGUGACUGACUGGAUAAAAAUGAAAUAGAAGGGUACUGAUUAUUUUCUGUGUCCGAAUUUGUGUGCCGUGGAUGAGAGGUCAUGUGUUAUUUUCAUAUUUAUUGAGAAAACCUAAUGUGAAGAAACUUCAUGCCAAACCCACUUCACCUAAGAUGGCAUCUAAUAGGAUUUUCACCAUCUGCAUACUCAGGGUUAAAUCCCAUAGAGUACUUGCAAGAGAAUAAAGUUAUUGUAGUAUAACGGCUCAAGCAAAGACGAUCUUCAUAGAAACUGAGAUGAAUAUUUUGUGUUUAAGUACAAUUCUUAUUUAACUAUUUAAUACAAGAUUAAGAAAGAUGAGAAUAUUGAAUAAAAGUAACAAGUGCAAAUAAAGAGAAAUAUUACAAGCUAAAAAUAAUAAUUGUAAAAAUAGCAAUCCAAAAAGUUUAAUAAGCAUUAGGGUUCAGCCGUCACCAGUAAAAAUCCUAUGUAGUUCUAUUAAUUACUUUUGCGUCAACACAUGCAAACUUUCAGCUUAGGUUUUCCUUAUGCAUAUUCCACUCGUGACAUUCAAGUUAGAACGUAUAUCCAAUAUGCAAUGCGUAAUUUGACAUUCACAUAAAAAAUCAACAUGCAAGACUCGUUAAAUUUUGUGAGAGCCUUAUAAAAAACCAGGGUAACCUUAAGAGCAUGACACUCACGUGAACAUACAAUUUCCAACCACAAGAAGCAUUAACCAAUUUCAGGCUGACAUUCCAAUAGGAAUUGCAUCCGAUUACUUGUCUAAACAUCUUAAUAGCGAUAAAGUGUUAAGACAUAAAGAUAGUUUAAAACAGUGAUUGAAAAUUCAAAGUAAGCAUAUAUAACAAUAUAAGUAAGUUAAAAAGAAACUAUAUAUUCAUGUUAAAACUCGUAACCUCGCCCAAGCAAAAGAGUUAAUUAGAAAUAAAACAUAAUGGAAUAUCAAAAGUUUUCUUGUGUUGGGAUCAAUAUUCUAACAAAUGCAAGGCACUAGUCGAGCGAUGGGUUGGGGCUAGGCGGGAGCCUAGGCGGAUUUGAAUAAUUUAUUAUAUAUUAUAUAAACUAAUUAAAUUUGAACAUUAAAUAAUAUGUUAUUUUUCAAAAAGGUGAGAGUUUUAGCCUUUUAGGUACAUAAUAAAAAUAUAUGUGGUGUGAUCUUAAAUAGGGUAAUAAAACCCCAUAAAAACAAACAUAAAAAAGUGACAUUUAAGAGAGAAAAAAAUAGUAAAAAAAGAUGGUGGGACCAUCUUAAGAAAAAUCAUGCAAUUAAAAAUUUUAAAUGAUGUUGGGAAUAGGGUUGUCUCCUUCCUUGCACGAGGUUGACUCUGCAACAAAAGAUUUCCAAAUUCCGACGCUUACAUAUAAUCCCGCCUAGCUUCCGCCCAUCCCAGCCUAGACUUGCCUAACUCCACUUUAUCCGGCCUGGGCGUCCGCCCAAUGUGCUUUCCGAUUUUGUGGCUGAUCAUGAGUUAAAUCGCGGCAGCCUACUUGAUCUAGCACCUAGGCAGCCGCCUAGGCUAAUUUUUUGAACACUAGGUGGGAUCUUAGUUUAGUUCGUUGAAUUCUGGUAAAGCGGACACUCUCCAAACUACAAGCACUGGGUAGAGACAAGAUUCUAUAUUUCAAGGAUAUUGCGAUACACAAGUCUCGAACUUUAUUCCAUUUGUUUAAUUUCAGUUUGUUUUAUUCAAAUUGUAUCCAUGUAUAUAGUUGUAAUUUAUUGUUCAUUAGCAUAUAAUUUUGGGUACAUAUAUUUCAAAUUUAUUUCUGCAAUAUAUUAAAUUUGUGAUUGAUUGUUGAUACUUAUCUAACAUCUUGAACACGUGCUUCAUAAUGAUCAUCUCGGUUGAGGUAUAUUUGCAACCAACAAGUAAUUGUGUACACAAAGAUGGUUUUCAUCCAAUAAAAUUGGGAUUCAAGUCAAAUUUUUAAGUUGUGCUCAUAGUUACCGCAGUUUCGGUCACUUUUGGGGGACAAUAUUCUCGACGUUAGGAGGAGAAAUGAUAGUUUUCAAAGAACGCCGAGAAUUAGCGUUGAUACAUGUGCAUUUGUCUCAUCCAAACUAUAUAUGAGUUAGAAGGGACUAUGAUGAUUAAUCUAUUGCAUGCCUAAAGCAUGACAGAUAUAUAAGUUCUAAACUUUGAACUCUCUGUAAGUGGAGAUUAAUUAAGUUCAAGUCCUAAUUGAAAAUAACUCUCCGUAGGAGGGCAUAUCCAAGUAAUUCAUCUUAAGAUAUUUGUCCUAGAUGUAACAAUGGAAGCCCCAAAGAGUCAUUGUACCCAAGCAAUGGAAUACUUAUAUAUUAAGCAUGCCAAUGAGAAUUGUUAGGUCACAAAUUGAUGAUAAUCAAUAAUUAUUAUAAUAGCUAAUCAUAUCAUGAAGGACUAUUUAGUCACGUUUUCCCAAAAAUAUCGACAAAGUAAAGGGUGGCCAAAACUAGAAAGAGAUAAUUCCAUUUUGAGCCACUGAAAAACGUGAAAUCAAUGAACCUAUAAUUUAAACCCCAAAUUUAUUCUUGCGUGUGUGUAAUAAAAAUAAAUAAGCCCACUAAUAUGGCAUAAGACUUUGUAAUAUAUUUCAUUAUAGAUGCAAUCACAUUUCUAGAAGUACAGUGUUAAUUUAGACGUGAGACUUAUCACUUUGUGGAGAUUGCAUACUAACCAUUUGAGAUUUUAUCUCUCAAAGUAAUUCUUACAGUAUGAAAAUGCCAUGAAAUUCUUUAUCAAAGUUCUCAAAUGAAGUUCCUAAAUUUAUUUGAUUACAUUAAUGCAAGACUACAGUUAAAAAUUUAUAAUGUAUUGUUGAAUACUUUAGAAAUUGUAGUAAAGCUAGUGUUUCUGCUACUCUCAUUCAUGCUGGGAAGGCCAAAGGAAGGCCCCCAUGGCAAACUUCCUCUUCUGGCUGACACCUCCAAUGACUAGGAGACCGUACUGCAUCAAAAAAUAGUCCAGUUUCCACUCAAGCAUGCUCUCAGAGUCUCUCUUCUAGUAUCUUGGGUAGUGUAGAGGCAUCUGGAAGUUGCAUGGGGUGUUGUUCUUACUAGUUUGCUCAUUUCCUUGGAGGUCGUUGGGCAUGGCGAAUGUGUGAUUGCUAAAUCCAGUUUCAGUGGUACUGAUAAACCCUCAAUCAACCUUAAUACAAGAAGCCAUGAAAGAACUCGAAGAGAGAGAGAGAGAAAGAGAGAGAUAUAGACAAAAGGAUUUCAGUAUUAUUCAUAAUCGUUUUCUGUUUUCUUACAAACCUCACUAUAUAGUUUCUGUUCUCUAACUAUUCUUAUCUAAUUACAACUAUACCAAUAACCUCCUAACAACCUUAUUACACUAAUCCCACUCAAUUAGUCAAUUGAUGCCGGUCACAACCCCACUUAGCUACUAGUAAAUCUCAUCAGAAUCGUAACAUUACUCCCCCCUUUGAAAUGAGCCUUGUCCUCAAGGCUGUAAGUCAGGAACGGAGUCAAUCUGCGUUCCCAAAAGAGCCUCCGAUGUUGAGUCAUUUUGUAUCAAGUCAACAUCCUGAACAGAUGGUAAUGAAAUAGUAGGAACAACUGAAGUCCCUAAUUUCUUUUUGAGACAGGAAACAUGAAAGACUAGAUGAAUCUUGGAAUGACUUGGAAGUUUCAACUUAUAUGCCACAGAACCCACGCGAGUCAGAAUCUCAAAGGGACCAUAGAAGCGAGGAUGUUUAUGGAAAGGAUGCAAAGCUAAAGAUUUUUGGUGAUAGGGAACCAACCUGAGAUAAACAAAAUCCUCUACAUUAAAUGAUCGUUCAGUUCUGUGCUUGUUGGCUUGAGUUAUCAUCCGUUCUUGAGCAGCUGCCAAGUUAGUUUUCAAGAGUGAUAAAACUCGGGUUUUCUCUUUCAAAUAGUGAUCCACCAUAUCAACCUUUGUCGUGCCUGAUUCAUAGAAUGGAACAUAUGGUGGUGACUGACCAUACACCACUUCAUAAGGUGUCAUUUUAGCUGCGGAAUGGUAUGAUGUGUUGUAGCUCCAUUCUGCCCAAGGAAGCCAUUUCAACCAUUGCUUGGGUUGUAAGCUACAGAAACAUCGGAGAUAGGUUUCCAAACAUCGAUUUAGAACUUCAGUCUGGCCGUCAGUUUGAGGAUGGAACCCGGAGCUAAAACAAAGCUUAGAACCUUGGAGUUUAAAAAAUUCUCUCCAAAAUGAGCUGAUGAAAACGGGGUCUCUAUCAGAUACAAUAGAGGAAGGCAUGUCGUGCAAUUUGAAUAUUUGAUCAGUGAAUAUUUGGGCCAUUGAAUGAGCUGUAUAUGGGUGAGCUAAUGGUAAAAAAAUGGGCAGCUUUUGAGAAUUUGUCGACAAUGACAAAGAUAACCGAUUUACCUUUGCAAAGAGGAAGCCCUGUGAUAAAAUCCAUAGCUAUAUCAGACCAAAUUCUCUGAGGAAUAGGAAGUGGAUGAAGAAGUCUAGCAAGAGAAAGUGUUUCAUACUUAUUCUUCUGACAGAUAUCACAUUUAGCAACCAUUUCCUUGAUAUUGUUCUUCAUACCCUCCCAAUAAAAAGAAUGAGAUAUCCGCUUAUAGGUCUUGAGAAAACCUUCAUGUCCUACAGAUGGUGUACAAUGGUGUUCUUCAAAUAGUUUAAGUCGCCAUGAACUUGUAGGACUGAGAACAAUCCUAUUUUUAUACUUCAAAAACCCAUUAUCAAUCUGAUAUUUAAGCAAGUUCAAGGUGCAGAAUCUGAGGGUGUUUGUACAACAGCCUGAGACUUCUGUAUGAUCCAGUCAUCUCUUUCAAUGUGUCGUCGUAAAUCAUCCAUCCAAGACAUAUAAGGGUACAACAAUGCGAGUAGCAUACUAUUGACAUCGAGACAUUCCAUUGGAACUGUAACACUAUUACUCUGAUCACUGCCCACAACUAGACUAGAAACUAUAGCAAGGUCAACAUUAGGAUGAGCUACUGUACUAACCCGAGAUAAAGCAUCAGCUGCUCUAUUUUCACUGCCCUUCUUGUAUUGGAUUUCGUAAUCAAAUCCAAGUAAUUUGGAGACCCAUCGUUGUUGGAUAGGCGAAUUAACUCUGUUUUGAAGAAAAUACUUGAGACUAUGGUGAUCGGACUUGAUAAUAAAGUGGUUCCCAAGCAAAUAGAAUUGCCACUUUUUAACUGCAUGCAACACAGCUAACAUCUCUCUUUCAUACGUAGACAAUGCUCGAAUUUUUUGGUCCAAGAGCUUGGCUAAGAAAUGCAAUAGGUCGACCUCCUUGCUGCAGUAUUGCUCCAAUUCCAGUACCCGGUAUCAGUCUCAAUAAUAAACGGUUUUGAAAAAUCGGGAAGUGCCAAAACCUGAGGAGACAUCAUUACAGUUUUGAGUUCCAGAAAUGCAUCAGUGGCUGCACAACUCCAAGUAAAGUUAUUCUUUUUAGUGAGUUGAGUCAAGGGUGCACUGUUUCUUCCAAAGUGAGGAAUAAACUUCCUAUAAUACCCAAUUAAUCCAAGAAAACCCCUUAAGGCUUUCACCGAAGUAGGCAGAGGCCAAUCUGCAAUAGCUUUCAAUUUUGAAGGGUCAGCAGCGACUCCAUUCUGAGAAACAACAUGGCCCAAGUAUUCGAUUUGAGUUUGUCCAAAAGCACACUUGGACAUUUUCACAAACAACUGAUGAUCGUGGAGUAAACUGAGGGCAAGACUCAAAUGAUGCAAGUGUAAUUCCCAAGAGGCACUAUAUAUGAGAAUAUCAUCAAAGAAAACUAAGAUGAACUUCCGCAAAUAAGGCCUAAAAAUCGUAUUCAUCAGACUCUGGAAUGAUGCAGGGGCAUUUGUGAGACCAAAAGGCAUAACAAGGAACUCAUAAUGCCCUUCAUGAGUUCGAAAAGCAGUAUUCUCAAUGUCUUUGGGGUGCAUACGGAUUUGAUGAUAACCAGACCUAAGAUCCAAUUUGGAGAAAUAUUUGGCACCAAAAAGUUCAUCCAACAAUUCAUCAAUUAAUGGUAUAGGAUACUUGUCCUUGACGGUAAUUAAGUGGAGUGCCCGAUAAUCCAUGCACAUCCUCCAAGUACCUUCUUUUUUCUUCACCAAGAGCACUGGAGAUGAGAAAGGGCUAUGGCUUGGCCUUAUAAAACCAGAUUCUAAAAGCUCCUUGACACACUUCUCGAUUUCAGUUUUUUUAAAAGGACCAUACUUAUAAGGUCUAGCACUCGGAAGCUUGCUUUCUGGCAACAAUGAUAUCCUAUGAUCAUGGGAUCUUGAUGGAGGUAGGCCAGAUGGAGAUUGAAAAAUAGGCUGAUACUGUGCUAACAGCUUGCAGAUCAUUUUCUUGGAGGGAAGUCAACUGAGAGUGAUUGGUUGGACUGGAGUUUUCUGCACUAACUUGUAAAACAAAUAGGGCAGCGCCUAAGCAAUGAUCCUGAGUGAGUAACUUGUCCAUUUGUAAGGAAGAAAUGGAUUGAGGCUCUUGAGAAUGAGGACUGGAUAUGGAGAAAGUGGUAUUGCCCACUACAAACUGCAUAACCAUUUUUUCAAAAUCCCAUAACACCGGUCCUAAUGUCCUCAACCAUUGUACGCCGAAAACAAUGUCACAUCCACCCAAGGGAAGAGCAAAGAAAUCGAGCACAAUAUCAUAAUUUUGUAUUCUAAUAGAAACUUUAGCUAAACAACCUGUACUAGUGAGGGAUCCCCUAUCUGCAAUCUUAACAGUAAAUGGGUGUGUAGUAUCCAAAUGGCCUUUCAACUGUUUAACUAGUGCAAUAUCAAUGAAAUUAUGCGAGCUCCCUGAAUCUACCAAGAAAAUAGCAGGACAAUUGAAUACUAACCCUUGUAUUUUCAUAGUUCUGAUGGACUUUGGAGCAGGCAUCCCAUAAACUGCACAGGCAGUAACCUCAGGCUCGUCAUGAAUCUUUGAAUGGUGCUCCACAAGGUCUCCAUCAUCAUACAUAUCCAAGAGUAGCACUUGCCAUUUUGGACCCACACAAACAUGCUCCCGAGAAAAUUUUUCAUCAUAAUUGAAACACAAUUUGUUCUUCCUUCGAAACUCAAUUUCCGCUGCUGUUAAACGCCUAAAUUGCUCAGAUCUUGAAGAAUGCUCAGGCUUUGGUGUGUUAGUGAUAUCAUAUAAUGGCGUAGGCUUGAACUAGAGUGCAGAUGAAUAAGUUCUUGGAAAAGAUCGGACCUUCAACUCUGCCAAUUUAGCAUCAACCUGUUGAGAGUAAGCAAUGGCUUCAUGAACAUCGAAUGGUUUCAGAAUCUUGACAUCAUGGCGAAUUUCUGGCUUUAAUCCACCAAUAAAACAACUUUUCAAGAGACCAGGGGUCAUUUCGAUGGUCCGAUUUGCUAACCGCCGGAAUUCCAUGAUAUAAUCCCCGUAGCAGCCUAAAUUGGCGAAGCUUCACCAAGUUUUCAGUGCAAUCCAGGAGAUCAGAUGAACCAAAUUCCCUGUAGAAAAUCUUUGUAAAAUCUUCCCAUUUAGGAUAAUUCCUGACACAGUUAACCCAUUGAAACCAUUGAAGCGUUUCACCUUCCAUAUGGAAGGAAGCCAUACGAACUUUCUUGUCGGCCGGAAUAUCAAAGUAAUCGAAGUAAUGCUCCGCCUUAUAAAUCCACCCCAGAGGAUCAUCCCCUUCCUGGAAGCGAGGAAAAUCAAGUUUAACCAAAGGAGAUCUUGGUUGAAACCUUAAAUCCUGACGGUUGAGAUGUUGGGUUCUUGAAUCAUCAUGCAAGUUGGGGUCAAAUUGAGUUGCCUCUGAUGAAUCGCCCAGACCCAAUACCCCUUUCUCCAAAAAUUCGCAAUGAAGUUUCUUGAUUCGGGCAUCCGAUGAACCUUGACACUCUUCCAUGGCGUCAAAUCUUUGCAGUAGUGUCACGAGAGUGCUGUUGAUCGCAACAAGCUGAUUCUGCGAUUCCAUAGCUUUCUUCGUCGACGUACGAGUCAUACGGCAGCAGAGAAGGGAUGGAGGAAAGCUCUGAUACCAACGAUAAACCCUCAAUCAACCUUAACUCAAGAAGCCAUGAGAGAACUUGAAGAGAGAGAAAAAGAGAGAAAAGGAAUUCAGUAUUAUUCAUAAUCGUUUUCUAUUUUCUUACAAACCUCACUAUAUAGUUUCUGUUCUCUAACUAUUCUUAUCCAAUUACAACUAUACCAAUAACCUCCUAACAACCUUAUUAUACUAAUACCACUCAAUUACUCAAUUGAUGCCGAUCACAACCCCACUUAGCUACUAGUAAAUCUCAUCAGAAUCGUAACAUUAACUCAAUCAACCUCAAUCAUCUUCUUGUAGGAUAUUUCAAGAAUAUAUAUAUAUAUAUAUAUAUAUAUAUAUAUAUAUAUAAUAUGUAUAUGUAUAUGCGUGCGUUGUGUAUUUGCAUAGAAUAGAGUUGGGUUCUUGCCCAACAAUCACAUCUCUUCAAUUUGAAUACUGCAUCUUUUGAUUGUUGCCAAAAAUGACACGACCUCAUGGUCAACAAGUGUAAUCCUUCUCCUAGCAAAUAUGACCUUUAGGUAAUUGGUGCUCUCCAUCAGGUAUAAUCGUUAAAAUGCCUUUUGGAUAAUGCUUUGUAUAUGUUCAAACAUACAUGACUUCUUGAACCAAUAUGAAUUCAAAAGUUAUGUACUUUCGAUUAACUUGAACAUGUGCAAUUCUCUCUAUAUAUUGAUAACGUUGGAAGAAGAAAAGAUUUAGAAAUUUGUUGUCUACACAAUUUCUUUACUCUCUUUUCUCUCUCCAUCACAUUCAUUCAAUUUCUUUCUAGUUAUUUCUAAGGGAAUACAAUUUGGUUUUGUUAAUCGAAUAUUUCAUACUUUGUUGUAUCUUGGAAGUGAUUUUCCAAGAACCUUUUAGCAAACUCAUUCGAGUAGGGGCAAAUAACACUUUAAGGAAACGAUUCAAGUCGUAUCUCAAAGUCAUCCUUCAGUUUAUUCUCUAUAUUUUUACAUUUAUUCUAACAAUCUUGUAGUGUUAUUUUUGUCAUGGAUAACAAGUCUGAUAACAUGGCUUUGAAGAUUAUCAAACAAGAUGUCUACAAGCUAGACAAAUUUGAUAGAUCAAAUUUCACCCAAUGGAAGGUGAUAGGAGCAUAUUUAUACGACUGAGUUAGCUUGUUCUCAUGCAUUUAUGUUGUUAUUUCUUAGUUAAUUAUGUAUUUUAAGCUAUUUUCGUGUGUUUGUAGGUCCAUAGGCCUUAUAAAGCAAUAAGAUGCAUUUUGGUGCAUUUUGGUGCAUUUUGGAGCAGUUUUAGGCUUGGAAUGAAUAGCACAUGCAUGGAGUAAGGUAGAUGGACGAAAUUGAAGACUAAAGAGGCUAGGAAUGUGUUAAAGAGAAAGAAGAAUUAAUGUAAAAAGGAUAAAGAGCUCAGCCACAAAGGGGUGUCACUCCACCAUUCACCUUUCCAUCAUUGUUGUGCACCACCAUUGCACUCCAUUUGGAUUCCUAUGACGUGCAUCAUCAUCCAUGUUCCCUCCAUUGACUCAUUUGUUGCAUCAUUCCACUUCCUUUCCUUUAUCUACCAUGUGCACAAUAUCUUUUCACCUCAUUGCACUCAUUGAUUCACCAUUUACUCACCUUUCCACCCAUGCCAUGCAUAAUCACCCUUGUCCCAUCCAUUAUUUCAGAUUUCAUGCAUCAUUACAUUGAAUCAUUGCACUCAAUUGCUACACCAUUUCUUGUUCCCUCCAUCAUUUCAGAUUUCAUGCAUCAUUACAUUGCAUCAUUUCACUCAAUUGCUACACCACUUCAUGUUCCCCUUCAUUGCCAUGCACUUCCUCUAUAAAAGGAAGUGUGUGUAACAUAAAUUUAGUUCAUACUUGGUUAGAUCAUUCACUCCCAUUUCAUCACAACCUUUAUCCAAACACAUCCAUUCAUCUUCAGAUCCAUUCCUUCAUACAAACAAACCUUCAAACACUCACCAACACCUUGUGCCGUAGCAAAGGAAGGGAAGGAAAGUGCUUAGAUGUGCUUGCUGUCCAACUUGGAUCGUUGGAGCGUUUAGGUGUUUUCUUUCUUUUGUUUCUAAUGUUUAAAUUCAUUUCCUUUCGUUUUGUUGUAAAUAUGAGUGGCAAAAUCCCUCUGGGCUAGGGGUGAUUUCAAAGCCAUGAUUAUGUGUGCAAUAUAAUUUGAUAAAUUCCAGUUAUGAACUCUUGAAUCGUGAAUGCAAUUGGCUUAACUAUUUGAUUGAUAACUUAUUUGUAUUUGUUAAUUAAUGGUCGACACUUAAUUAGCAUGCAUAAAUCCAUUGCUAGAAUAUAAGGAAGUUUCACAUAAUCGUUACAAACUUAUAUUCACAUGUAGUGAAGGUCGCUUAUAAACGAUCGCGUUAAGUUCAAUUCCUAGCAUAAGCGACAUGAUGUCAUAGUUGCAAGUGCUUUGUCAAUGCUUAUGGUUUUCAUUAAACGUAAUGAUCUUUGAUUGUCUCUAUUAUGAUGUCAUAUGGGAAACUUUUGAAGAAUGUUUUGGGUUGUAGAAUGAUGUCAUCAAAUCCAAUAAAACAAGGAAAAUCUGAGAGUUAACUAGUGAUGUCACGGUUAAUUUGGAGCAUUAUCGUUCAUAAUUUAAUGAAGUAGUAACUGGAAAUCAAGUUAUUUGCAUACAUGUCAUGUGUGGAGAAAAAGCCUCUAGCUAUCCCAUCCAUCAUCUUAUUUCUCAAAUUUGUUUUACAAUCUGUCUAGUUUUUUAUACUUGUUUGUUUGUUUCAACUUCGUCCAAAACUCAAUCCUCCUUUACUUUAGUGUGUCUAAUUAGUUAGAAUCUGUUUUAAUUUGUGUUUUUAAAUGUUUUGAUUCAAGUAAAAGUCAAUUUUCGUCCAAAGUCAUUCCUAGUGUCUAGUUUAAGUUUAUUUAGUUGUUUUAAGCUGUUUUGAGUAUUUUAAGUUUGCUUUGAAUCUUGUGAGUCUUGUUAAGUAUUUUUAAGUUUAGUUUUAUGUUUUUGAGUCAGUUUAGAGGUUAUUAGCAAGCCCUCCUAAUCCCCGAUCCAGAACGAUCCCUACUUAUACUUAUAUUACAGUUGUCAAAAGAGGGUUAAAUUUGUGUGUUAAGUUAAUUUUCGCAUCAGAAGGACAAGAUGUGUUUCAUGCUUACUGUUCUAAAUGUCAUAUAUGUGUUCAACUCGAAAUUAGAGCCUAUUCGUGAACCAAGUGACAAAGACACGGAAAAAUAGUUGUCGAUUGAAAGAAGCGUGAAGAAGAUGAAUUGGUAUGUAGAAGACACAUCUUGGGCACAUUAUCUGAUCGCUUAUAUGACAAGUACGCACACAUUCAAUCUCCAAAGGAAAUUUGGGAAGAACUUGAACACAAGUACACAACGGAGAAAAGAGGUACGAAUAAAUUUUUAAUGUUCAAAUAUUAUGAGUUCACUAUAUUUGAUAACAAACUCAUCCUACCAAGUUCAUGAAUUAUUGGUCUCGGUCUCAAAACUUUGUGAACUUAAAAUAGUUAUUCCGGAUUCUAUGAUAAUUGGGGCUGUUAUGGAAAAAUUACCCCUAACAUGGAAUAACUAUAGAAAGAAACUUCUACACAUGGUGGAAGAUAUUAGUUUGGAGGAUUUGCAAAAAGGUAUUCAAAUUCAAGAGGAAACUCGAAAUCGUGAUAGGAAUUUUGCAAAACAGGAUUCCUCUAGAAUUCACAUUUUUGGAGGAAACAAAUACAAAAACAACUUCAAAGUCAAAAUUGACAAAGGGAAGUUUAAGAAGACCAAAAAGAAUGCAAAUGGGGUCUACUACCAUUGUGGAAAGAAAGGUCAUUACAUUCGUGAUUGUAGACACAGAAAAGUGAGUGAGGAAUAUGCCAAUAAGACCAAUAACGCAAAUAUGGUGGAAAAUUCUGAAAUUGAUAACAUUGUUGCCAUGGUAUCAAUGAUGCAUAUUGCCAUGAUUACAGAACUAAAUAUGGCAACGGUAAUAAAAUCAUCUGAUUGGUGGCUCGAUUCAGGGGCUACUAUACAUGUGUGUAAUGACGAGUCACAAUUCAAAACAUGUGAAGCAUCAACGGACAAUCAAGAGGUUUUAAUGGGGAAUCAUAAUUCUACCAAAGUUCUAGGAAAAGGAACCAUUGAACUUCAAUUUACUUAUGGGAAGAAAUUGACAUUGCUUAAUGUACUACAUGUUCCAGAAAUUAGAAAGAAUCUUAUGUCUGCAAAUUUAUUGUGUAAGAAUGGUAUAAAGACUGUUCUAGAGUCCGACAAGUUAAUAAUGUCGAAAAUUGGGGUGUUUGUUGGGAAGGGGUAUUCUUGUGAUGGAAUGUUCAAACUAAGUAUUAAUAAUAAAGUGAAUUCUUUUGCUUAUAUUGUUGAAUCUUCCUCUCAUUCAUGGCAUUUACGUUUAGCGCAUGUAAAUUUUAGAUCUUUAAAAUACAUGCGCACAUUUAGUUUAAUUGUUUGCAAUGAUGAUUACAAUGAUAAAUGUGAAACAUGUAUUCGAGCGAAAAUGACUAAGAAACUUUUUUCCAACUACCGAAAGAAAUACAAAUUUAUUAGACUUAAUACAUUCUGACAUAUGUGAAUUUAAUGGUGUUUUAACAAGAGGUAAAAGGUAUUUUAUCACAUUUGUAGAUGAUUGUUCUAAGUUCACUUAUGUUUAUUUAUUGUCUAAUAAAGAUGAAGCUUUUGAGUGUUUUAAGCGCUGUAAGGCUGAAGUUGAAAACCAAAAGGGAAGGAAAAUUAAAUGCCUUCGCAGUGAUAGAGGUGGUGAAUAUUUUUCACAUGAAUUUGAUAUCUUGUGAAGAGCAUGGUGUUGUACAUCAAAGAACUACACCCUAUACACUACAACAAAAUGGUUUGGCAGAAAGAAAAAAUAGGAAACUCACUAAAAUGAUUAAUUCUAUGAUAAUUAAUGCUAAUACUCCUAAACAUUUACAGGGAGAAGCAUUGUUUACUGCAUGUCAUAUAUACAACAGAAUUACAUUUACGAAGACACAUGUGCCACCAUAUGAAAUUUGGAAAGGAAGAAAACCAAAUUUGUCAUAUUUGAGAGUAUAAGGUUGUGUAGCCUUUUACAAGGCACUGGACCCUACGAGAUCCAAGUUGAGUCCAAGAGGAAUUAAAAGCAUACUUGUAGGAUAUGCAGAAAAUUCAAAGGCAUGUAGGUUGCUUAAUUUAGACUCAAAUACAAUAGUUAAGUCUAGAGAUGUCAAAUUUAUAGAAAAUAAAUUUUAUAAUGACUUCUCAAUGUUUGGAAAAGAGAAUGAUCAAACACCUUUCUCUAAUCCGGCUACUAGUCAUUCUUAAGGUAAGAAAAGAAAACAGUUUGAAACUG
rnacentral:lncRNA from 1 species